rnacentral:rRNA from 1 species
AAAACGACUCUCGGCAACGGAUAUCUCGGCUCUCGCAUCGAUGAAGAACGUAGCGAAAUGCGAUACUUGGUGUGAAUUGCAGAAUCCCGUGAACCAUUGAGUCUUUGAACGUAAGUUGCGCCCCAAGCCGUUAGGCCGAGGGCACGCCUGCCUGGGUGUCCGC